rnacentral:rRNA from 1 species
UACGUAGGGCGCAAGCGUUGUCCGGAAUUAUUGGGCGUAAAGAGCUCGUAGGCGGUUUGUCGCGUCUGCUGUGAAAACUCGAGGCUCAACCUCGGGCUUGCAGUGGGUACGGGCAGACUAGAGUGCGGUAGGGGUGACUGGAAUUCCUGGUGUAGCGGUGAAAUGCGUAGAUAUCGAGAGGGAACACCUGCGGCGAAGGCGGGUAGCUGGGCCGACACUGACGGCUG